GAACUUAGCAUGACAUGCUGUGCANGCUUCGGGAACUGUGAGACNAGGUGCUGCUAUGGCUGUCUGUCAGCUCGUGUUGUGAAAUGUUGGGUUAAGUCCCGCAACGAGCGCAACCCUUAUCCGUUUGUUGCCAGCGGUUCAGGCCGGGAACUCAAAGGAGACUGCCAGUGAUAAACUGGAGGAAGGUGGGGAUGACGUCAAGUCAUCAUGGCCCUUACGACCAGGGCUACACACGUGCUACAAUGGCAUAUACAAAGAGAAGCGACCUCGCGAGAGCAAGCGGACCUCUUAACAGUAUGUCGUAGUCCGGAUUGGAGUCUGCAACUCGACUCCAUGAAGUCGGAAUCGCUAGUAAUCGUAGAUCAGAAUGCUACGGUGAAUCACGUUCCCG
rnacentral:rRNA from 1 species